rnacentral:lncRNA from 1 species
GUUUCUGAGGCUAUAAUUUUAAAAAUAGUAAAAACUAAUAACCAAAACCAGUGAAACAUGCGAUAAUAUCUUUAACCUAAGCACCUAACAAGCUUUUUCCAUGAGACACGUUGUACAUACUUUGAGUGGGAUGCGAUAACAAACAUUCCAAUAAUGGCUUUCGUUGAACAUGUUGCUUUCCUCAAGUGGAAACUACUGCUCUUCUCUCUCAAUGUCCCACUAUCUCUCUCUCUCCCUAU